UAUUUUUUAAUUUUACUUUAGUUUUAGUUUUUUCUACUUUUAUUUAUAUAGACUUGAGAUUUUGUCAUGUAUCCUUAAGUUGUAUUUAAAAAAAUAAAAAAUAAUAGAUAUGUGGCAAAAUCUCAACCCCGUUUGUGAAAUAAAAAUUUUUCACUACUGUACAAGCCCAAUAAUGCCCAGACCCAAGAAAAUAAAUAGGCCCAAAUGCUAGACCCAACCUACUAAACCUAGCCCACACAAAAACAAAAUAACAGAAAUCCUAGGAGCCUAUUUGCUUCAGCACCACCGCAACUCACCCUCGCACGCCGCCGCGAAUCUCGCACCACGACCUUCCCCAGCGUGCACCGCUUCGUACGCCAGCAUUACCUGUAGCAACAAACGCAAAAUAGAAUAGCAAAGAAAAGGGAACAGAGCAACAAUAUGCCAACGAAAAAACAGGAUAGAUUUCUUUGGAUUUGGGUUCAUUUUUUUCCCAUUUCGGCUAUUUAAAGCCGUUAUCAAAUUUGUAAAUGGGGGAAUUUUUUUUUCAGUGUAAAAUAUAUACGAAAAUAGAGAGAAAAGAUUGAAAUACAAAGAAAAACUUGAAGGUGAAUCGUGUUUUUAUUUUUUUUAUUUUUCUCAUAUAUUCUUUUGAUUUUUUUUUUAUUUUGUAAAAUAAUAAUACAAAGAGAAGAAAAGAAACUUACCUGGCUUCGUCGCGUUUCAUCCCAUCUCCGUCGCGAUCGGAGACUGGGAUGACUGAGGCCAUAGAUCGGCCUUGAAUGGCAUUGGCGGUGGCUGAGUUGAAGGCCUGACAGAGGCUAGGGUUUAUAAGGUUUUUGUUUUGUUGUAAAAAAUGGCAAAGAAUGGUUUUUUUUAGAAAAUGUUGACUUUAAAUUUGAGAUCUAACGGCGUCGUAUGAUGGGUGAAGGGUCCGCGCGUCGACCCGACCCGCAGUUGGGUCCCGCGUUUCUACUAUAAAUGGGGAAAUUGCGCAGCUAGCCCUCCCCCUUUUGCGCCAUGUUUUUAUCAAGCCAAUUGUUUUUUAACAUUUGGCCCAAAUAUUUCUACUUUUGUUCAUUUCAGCCCGUGUCAAUGCACAGCGUUUUGGAGGGCGGAUUAUUGCUAAAAUGGUCCUCCAUGUCAUUCUCUUGUUGCAAUCUCGUCCCCAUUUUACUUUUAAUCUCAUUCGUACCCGCUGAUUCUCUCUCAAUUACAAUAUGAUCCUUUUUUGUUUUUAUUAAUCCAUUUCAUCUUUUUUUUUUAUCAUUAUUACUCUUAUUACCACGUUAUUAAUAUAUUCAUUCAAUUCGCA
rnacentral:lncRNA from 1 species